rnacentral:lncRNA from 1 species
AAUUAAAUUAUACAAUUUUAAUUGUAAUAAAUCGAAUCAUGUAGUUCUAAUUCAGCAAUAAUUAAUUCAUCUAUUAGUCUCCUACCACCUAGGAUUAAUGGGAUCCCACCCUAAAUGUACUUAAACCACGUUGUAUAGAGUUUCUCCCUUUUUACAAGCCUAAUAGGACAAUUCUCAUUUCAAAAUGGCAUAAAAUAGCAAUACAAAUUUAUUCUCUUUAAUACAAAUACAAUACUGAAACUUCCUAAUUUGUAUUGUUAAUUAGCUCAAUCACGAUUUUACAAAUGGGUAGCCCUAUAUGAAGUUGUUUUCGUACGUUUUGGUUUUAUUAGCCUUAGGGAGACGAAGAUUAACGGAUACUUUAAAUUUUUAUUAGAUUAAAACUAUAGAGUUUAAUUUAUUAUAAUUAAAACUAUAAGAUUUAUGUGGUGAAACUCUAGGAUUUGUUUUAUAAUUUUCCCAGGUUCAUUUUAUGAUGAGACGAGGUCACUAAAUGUAGAGUCAACAAAUUUGAAGUUACGCCUAACUUUUCUUAUGAAAUUUUGAUUAAUUUUGUCUUUUUCUGAUAGAGAGAGAACAAAUUGGAAGCGACUACUAGUAAAAAAAAAAUCAUGACUUUUCAUUCUGAUAGAGAGAAAACAAAUUGGAAACGACAACUUAUAAAAAAAAUCAUGACUUGUCAUUUAAAUUGUGUGAAUGUGAUUAAUUUUUCGAUAUCUAUAAUGGCAUGAACAUUCAUUCAAACAGUGUCUUUUUUAUUUGGAGUUAAUUGUAUUUUAACUUCUAAACUAUUGUUCGGUGUCACUUAACCUUCUAAAUUGAAAACCUAAUUAAUUUUUCCUCUUAAACUAUUAAAAGUUCGGCAAUAUUUUAUAGUAAUAUUUGGCCAAUUUAAUCUUAAAAAUAGUUAAUUACAAGGAAAAUAGGGUUAUUUUAGGGAUUUUUGCUUUACUUUCCUGUUCAUGAGCUACUCACAUGGAAAUCUAGCAUUUUAUGUUAAAGGGAUGGCUAGAAUUACUAAAAUGACAAUUUUCAAUAGUUUAAGGAGAUAAAUUGAUUAAUUUUUUAAUUUGGGGGUUAAGUGACACUAAACAUUAAUUUAGGAGAAGUGCAAUUAACCCAAAUCAUUAGCAUAAUCAAAUGGACCACAAAGAACACUCUCACUUCAUAAUAGAGUUGUAAUACAAUUGUCAGGUUUGGGGCGGGAGACUACCACCCCAAACCUGAACCUGUUGAAGAAAUAUUCCCCCAAAACCCCAAUACCCGCUUAACUCUUCUUCCACUUGCACAGAUCUAUGAAAGAUAAACCCAAAACUACCAGCCUUACCAGUUUACCCGCAAAUAGUUGUGUACUAGAAUUGGUAUAAUGUAGCCCACAUACAUGCCACCAACGACUUCACUUGACGUACCCUACGUAACACAUAUGAUUGAAUCAUGUAAGUUUUCUCUUUAGAUACCCCAAUGUGAUGCAAAAUCUAUUCGUCAUAGCAUUAUAAUUGUGAAUUUGAUAAAAGAUUUGAUUUAUUUUAAUGGAUGAUUUGAUUCUCUCUUUAUUUGAUAACGAGGGCCUUUAUUCCCACUCCUGACACGAGGGGUGGGACGAUGUGACGUUUACUAAAAACUUUUGGUCAAUUUUACCCUUUUCUCAUAUCUCUCUCUCACCCAAUUUUACCCCUUUUCAUCAUUUACAUAGACAUGUUAUUAAACAUUAUAAAUACUUAUAAACGCUUGAUAAUAUAUUAAAAAUUAAAUCCGGGUUAUUAUAGACAAUAUUGAUAAUAGAAGUGAGUUUAGUGAAAAAUUGAUGAAUCGUGAUAAUUUCUUAAUUUUCUUUUGAUGCUGCCACUAAUGUCAAUUGCAAGCGAUGUGCAAAACAAUUAACAUAAUAAGCAUAUGGAUAGUCAUUCAACACCAAAGCUUGGAACAAGAUGUGAUUUUGGAACAUGGGUGCAACGCUGUCUCAACUGUCUGAGAAAAGGGUAUUACUAACAACUAAGGUGAAGAAUCUAUUUUGCAAUUGUUUGUAUAUUAUUUUCAUGUUGCAAGUUGUUUUUAUCGAGGAUUGGAUAUUGGUAUCUGUUGAUUACAAAUAUACGUGAAAAGUUGAGCAGCGUUUAAAUCCAUCAUUUUUGCAUGUGCUUGUCCAUGAAUACAUGUGACUAAAUUGGGAAACUAUUGAUAGACCUAUUUGGGUAUAUUUUGAGUGUCGAAGACUAGGCCUCUGUUUGGUUGCUGUUUCUAGAAUCAGUUUUGUAGAAUAGUUUUCAGAAAAUUUGUUUAGUUGGCAGUUUUUGGACCUUGUUUUCUGGGAAUUCUUCAAAAAUAACGCGUUUUGGGUACUUAGCCUCUUGAUUCUCGGCAUCAAAAUGCAGUGUAAUAUAAGAAGGAAUUGACAGUAAAUAUAAAGAUCCUCUAUAGCAAUAGGACUGUCAUUAGCCAAAGCGUCCACACAUAUGUUUGCUUCCCGAUGUGUGAUGCUGAAAAUUGAUGCUUCAAGCUGACUCCAUAGGUACCUGCAAUCCCAAAUUCUUAGUAAGAGAAUGACUAGGUAUCUUAUUCUCUUCCAUUUCUUGCUUCGCUGCAACAGCAUCCACUUCAAUUUCCAGUACUCCCAUGACUAUAGUUAGUUUCAAUCCAUCCUUAGGCCCCCAUAACUCAGCCGCUAAGCCUGAGGUUCUCCACUCUCCUAACGUCGCCGUUGAAACCUCCAAUAUAUUUAAAAGCCUUGAAAUUGGUUGAUUCAAUUCUGUGGAGCAAUGAAGUAAAAAGAAGUCGAGAUGAGAUUUGCUACAUCUGCAGUUUGUAGUUGACGGUGAUGUUAAUGGCUAUGCAAGUAGAUUUGUUUGCAUUGUGUGCAUUUAAAAUCCAUUGUAUGCAUUGCAAUGUAUUCUCUCUUGAAUGGUUCUUGGCAGUACAAAGUUAUCAUUAACAGAUCAUUUGGUGUUUUUUCUUGUUAUUUAGGUUGUGUUUGGAUACCGGAUUUGGUGAGAGAAAAUAAAAUGGAAAUGGAAAUGGAAAAGUUAGACGAUCCAACUGUUCGGGACCAUCGAAUCAUCUACCUUUUUCAUUUUUAUUUUCUUUUUCCUCCCGAAUCCUUGAUCCAAACACAGCCUUAGUGUUGAUGGGAGGCAUGAGAAUCUCUCUCUAUACUUCCCUGGUUGGUCUUUGGUACUAGUAGGGGUGUACUGGUCGAUUAGGUGGUUUCGACUUGGCAGGUUAGACGGGUUUGGUAGGUCGAGAUUUAAGAGAGCGUGAAGUACUAUUCUAUUAGAGAAGUGGCAAAUACAAAUAUGACAAAUAAAAUAAAGUUAACAAUAGAUAGCAUAAUAAAUUAGGUAAGAACAAAUUAUGUGAGAAUGAAUUGACUGGUACCCGAUCGAGGAUUUCAAUAUUUCUAUUAUAUUGACUCUUAACAGGCGGGUGACAGUAAAUAACGAGAUAUUUGCCUACACACGAUCGGUUUGGUUCUUGUACCCAUCGGGUGCAAGAGAAAUUGCCAUUCCUAGAUGCCCUUUAUUAGUAUGCCACAUGGACUUAGGAGGGAUAUUGACUUUCACUUUUAAGAAGCUUGGGUAUAUUGCUACCUUAAGACACAUUACAAACAAACUGAAGUUGAAAACAUAGUUUGGAACACACAUAAAGCCCUCAGUUUGGUCAUCUAGAACUAUUUUGACCCACAAGAAAAAUAAUAAUCCGAAAAAGUAUAUAACACGUAGUACUGCCAGCACAACAUAUCGAACACUUUUUAGAAAGAAAAAAUUCCUAGUUUCCAUAAAUGUUACCGAGCCUCCACUUCACUAACUGUCAACGUAUUCACCGAAAAGAGUUCCAAAUUUUCAGGUAAAGUGGCAUUAUUGGCACUUGCAAUGGCAACGAGAGGACGUUGCUUAGGGGUAGGCAGAGCCACCGAUUCGUUGGUAAGCAUGGACAAGACUUCGGGCAUGGUUGGUCUAUCUUCAGCGCUUUCUUGUACGCACAAGAGACCGAUCUGAACACAUCGCAGAACUUCAAUUCUCGGCCACGAAUCAGCUAGGGCUGAAUCUAUCAGCUCCAAACUUCUGCCUUCAAUCCAAAGUUCCCAUGCCUGAAAAGUUACCGUUAAUUUAAAACGAUACAAUACUAACAUUAACAAAAAAUUGAGAAAUUUGUAAGAAGACUAAAUCCGAUUGUUGUUACUCACGUAUCCCAGUAGGUUCAUUGCACGAUCGGAGUAAUGGAAACUGAGAAUAUUUCUCUUGCCACUUAAAAUCUCUAGCAUUAGGACUCCGAAGCUAAAUACAUCCGAUUUGACGGGGAAAAGACCACUUUUGACAUACUCAGGUGACAUAUAACCACUGCCACCACAUUUUCCAAACAUAUAAAUACAUAAAAUAGAAUGAAUUUAACAUGUAAAAUUGCAUUUGGAUUCAGUACUCAAAAAGUACAACUUUAAUUCAAUUUUAUAUUUUAGGUCUACUUUCAAGAAUUGUUCCAAAAAGGAACUUUAACAGAACACAUCUUCACACUCUUUAUUGAAUUUUUCACUUUAGAAUUAUCAAUGUACCUCCAAAAGUUAGUCUUCCUACAAUUUUAUCUAGUUCCAACUUUAAACCCGUUAAUUUCAAAUCCACUCAUCCAAAUGAAGCUUAAGGCUGUGCUAUCAUGAAUUUGUGGAGCGAUUUAUGAGGGAAAGGAGAAGAUAAGAAAAUAAUGAACGAAAGUAGCUAAUUUAUUCUUUAUUUUUCCAUAAUUUUUCUUUUUUGUAGAUUAAACCCUAACAUGAUUCAAUAUAUGCAUGUUUAAAAAAAGACAAAUCACUUACUAUGUCCUGACAAUUCUAUUUGUGUUUGCUUGAGAUUCGUUCUCUUGGAAAACUCUAGCCAUGCCAAAAUCAGAUAUUUUCGGGUUCAUCUCGCUAUCCAACAAGAUGUUGCUUGUUUUUAGAUCUCUAUGAAUGAUUCUUAACCUCGAGUACUUGUGGAGGUAUAGAAGCCCUUGGGCAAUCCCUUCGAUGAUGCAGAAACGUAAUUUCCAGUCCAGUGAAACUCGCUUUGUGGCAUCUGCAUCAGAUAAAGGAACAUGAAU